rnacentral:rRNA from 1 species
AGAUUAAACUGAAGAGUUUGAUCCUGGCUCAGAUUGAACGCUGGCGGCAUGCCUUACACAUGCAAGUCGAACGGCAGCACGGAGCUUGCUCUGGUGGCG